UACGUAGGUGGCAAGCGUUGUCCGGAUUUACUGGGCGUAAAGGGUGCGUAGGCGGAUAUUUCAGUAGAAAGUGAAAGGUUGGAGCUCAACUCCAACAUUGCUUCCUAUACUGGAUGUCUUGAGUUUCGGAGAGGAAGAUGGAACGACACGUGUAGCGGUGAAAUGCGUUGAUAUGUGGCGGAACACCAAUAGCGAAGGCAAGCUGCUGGGCGAAUACUGACGCUGAGGCACGAAAGCCAAGGUAGCGAACAGG
rnacentral:rRNA from 1 species